rnacentral:rRNA from 1 species
CAAUAGCGUAUAUUAAAGUUGUUGCAGUUAAAAAGCUCGUAGUUGGAUUUGUGGCGUACGGUGGGUUCCGGGCACUUGUUGUCUGAGUAACUUGCUGUUGCCAUCCUUGGGUGGAACCUGUGUGGCAUUAGGUUGUCGUGCAGGGGAUGCCCAUCAUUUACUGUGAAAAAAUUAGAGUGUUCAAAGCAGGCUUAUGCCGUUGAAUAUAUUAGCAUGGAAUAAUGAGAUAGGACUUUUUUGCUAUUUUGUUGGUUUGCGCAAAGAGGUAAUGAUUAAUAGGGACAGUUGGGGGUAUUCGUAUUCCAUUGUCAGAGGUGAAAUUCUUGGACUUUUGGAAGACGAACUACUGCGAAAGCAUUUACCAAGGAUGUUUUCAUUAA